GAGGGGCAGCGGAGGCGAGUGCUUGCACUUGCCAGACGGCGACCGGCGCACGGGUGAGUAACACGUAUGCGACCUGCCCGUAGCAGGGGGAUAAGCGGAAGAAAUUCCGUCUAAUACCGCGUAAUAUCUUUCGGGGGCAUCCCUGAGGGAUUAAAGGAAGCGAUUCCGGCUACGGAUGGGCAUGCGGCGCAUUAGCUAGUCGGCGGGGUAACGGCCCACCGAGGCGACGAUGCGUAGGGGUUCUGAGAGGAAGGUCCCCCACACUGGUACUGAGACACGGACCAGACUCCUACGGGAGGCAGCAGUGAGGAAUAUUGGUCAAUGGGCGAGAGCCUGAACCAGCCAAGUCGCGUGAGGGAAGACGGUCCUAUGGAUUGUAAACCUCUUUUGUCGGGGAGCAAAAAGGCCUCGUGAGGCCACAAGCGAGAGUACCCGAAGAAAAAGCAUCGGCUAACUCCGUGCCAGCAGCCGCGGUAAUACGGAGGAUGCGAGCGUUAUCCGGAUUUAUUGGGUUUAAAGGGUGCGUAGGCGGACUGGAAAGUCAGCGGUAAAAUCGAGAGGCUCAACCUCUUUCCGCCGUUGAAACUGUCGGUCUUGAGUGGGCGAGAAGUAUGCGGAAUGCGUGGUGUAGCGGUGAAAUGCAUAGAUUUCACGCAGAACUCCGAUUGCGAAGGCAGCAUACCGGCGCCCAACUGACGCUGAGGCACGAAAGCGUGGGUAUCGAACAGGAUUAGAUACCCUGGUAGUCCACGCAGUAAACGAUGAAUACUAAUUGUCCGGUCAGAAUGAUGACUGGGUGAUACAGCGAAAGCGUUAAGUAUUCCACCUGGGGAGUACGCCGGCAACGGUGAAACUCAAAGGAAUUGACGGGGGCCCGCACAAGCGGAGGAACAUGUGGUUUAAUUCGAUGAUACGCGAGGAACCUUACCCGGGCUCAAACGUAGAAUGACAGACGGUGAAAGCCGUUCUCCCUUCGGGGCAGUCUACGAGGUGCUGCAUGGUUGUCGUCAGCUCGUGCCGUGAGGUGUCGGCUUAAGUGCCAUAACGAGCGCAACCCCCAUCUACAGUCGCUAACAGGUAAAGCUGAGGACUCUGUGGAGACUGCCGGCGCAAGCUGUGAGGAAGGCGGGGAUGACGUCAAAUCAGCACGGCCCUUACGUCCGGGGCGACACACGUGUUACAAUGGCAGGUACAGCGGGAAGCCAUAUGGCGACAUAGAGCGGAACCCGAAAACCUGUCUCAGUUCGGAUUGGAGUCUGCAACUCGACUCCAUGAAGCUGGAUUCGCUAGUAAU
rnacentral:rRNA from 1 species